rnacentral:rRNA from 1 species
UAAUACCGCAUAAUACCCACGGGUCAAAGGAGCAAUUCGCUUGAGGAGGAGGUCGCGGCCGAUUAGUAGUUGCGGGGUAAUGGCCCCACCAAGACGGUGAUCGGUAUCCGGCCUGAGAGGGCGCACGGACACACUGGAACUGAAACACGGUCCAGACUCCUACGGGAGGCAGCAGUGGGGAAUUUUGCGCAAUGGGGGAAACCCUGACGCAGCAACGCCGCGUGGAGGAUGAAGUCUCUUGGGACGUAAACUCCUUUCGAUCGGGACGAUUAUGACGGUACCGGAAGAAGAAGCCCCGGCUAACUUCGUG